AUGCUAGCAGAAGGUUAUGGAUUGCUGCUAGACAUCCAACGUUGGAGGAAUUUUUUGCAGAGUUUCCACGCUUUGUGGACAUGCCAUACUUGUUUGACACAGAAUUUGGAAAGAUGUUUCCUGGAAAAGCGGACAUAUUCAUCAGAAAAUGGGAGGGAACCAUCGUCCCAAAGAUACUAAAAAUGUCCACAAGUGAACCUGCUGCUGCAUUGCCACCAGUUCCUGAGGAUGAUGUUUCAUGUUACAGAGCUCUUCACAAGCUUGUCCAUCUGCUGCCCCCCACUGCAUCAGGCAGGGGCAAAGGGAACACCAAAUGCAGUGUGAAGUCAGCUUUGGGCUACCUGUUGGAUAUAAAGCCG